rnacentral:rRNA from 1 species
UACGUAGGGGGCGAGCGUUACCCGGAACCACUGGGCGUAAAGGGAGCGUAGGUGGCCUGACAUGUCGACUGUGAAAACCCGGAGCUCAACUCCGGACUUGCAGUUGAAACUGCCAGGCUUGAGGACGGUAGAGGAAGACGGAACUGCCAGUGUGGGGGUAAAAUCCUUAGAUAUUGGCAGGAACGCCUGUGACGAAGGUGGUUUUCUGGGCCGGUUCUGACACUGAUGCUCGAAAGCCAGGGGAGCGAACGGGAUUAGAUACCCUGGUAGUCCCUGAGCGGGCU